rnacentral:lncRNA from 1 species
CGCGCCGAUAAAAGGCGGCGGCGCCGACGCCGGUGCUGCCACGGCGGCCGUCAGGACGACGACCGAUCCGGGGUGGGCGCACAUGCCGUGCACCGCGAGGGCGCUGUCUUGGAGCGACCACGACUGGGCCAGCAGGGUGUCGCACGAUCCGGGCUUGGCCUGGGCGGCCUGGAUGACGAGGGCGAUCGCCACGUCGACGACGGCCAACUGGCGGCCGCCGACGCACACGUAUUGCGUCGUGCGCUGGAUGAUGCGCGCCAUCGGGUGGAGCCGGCGCGGUGCACGGUGCCGCACGUGCAACGGAGACGUGGCCGCUAGGCCGCGAUCGGCGCAUACCAUCGGUGUCGUCGCGGCGUCGGCGGAUACGGUUCGAUCCUCAAGUGCCGGCACGUUGUCGGUGUGCCGGCGAGCGCGCUGAUGUGCGGGUUCGCUAUGGGCGAGUGCGCGGCGCUUGCGCGAUGCGCGCGAGCCGACCGAACCCGAGCACGCGCCCGUUGGAGCGGCUCGGACGUCCCGCUCGUCGACGCGACGGGACAAUGCGAGUUGCUCCAUGAAUCGAAAGAAAAAGAGACAGGGAAAAGAGAGAGGAAGAAAAAAGGCGAGGGGUGGAGGGUCAAUGGGGCCAGCGGCGUCGGUUCGAGUGGGAUAAAGGACAGAGAAGAAGAGGGGCAGGCGAAAAGGAAGAGUCGGUUCAAACAACAGCAACCGCCAACGGCAAUGGGAGGCGACGAUACGAGUCGGUUCACGGUGACGGCGACGAUGACGACAAGGAUAAAAAAUCGAUGAGAGAAAGAGAGGACGUCGAUGCACAAGAUGUUGGGAUGGACGCGAGACAGCGGCAACAAGCGGUCUUGGCUCUGCCCACAAUGGAAAAAACUUGUGGUGGCGGCGGUGGCGUGACCUCGCCCGACCAAUCGCAAAGAAACCCUCCCAUUUGCCCGUGUUUUGGUGCGCCGGCUCCUUUGUUUGGACCCCUUUUUCC